UGGGAUGGGUGUGACCAAGGGUGUAAAUGGGUGCUGAAAGCUUGUUGCCUUUGUCUGGGAUCGAAACCCAUCAGCUUAGUCUCAGAUUGAAACCUUGUCACUGGCGUGUAGGAAUCUGAGACACGGCGCACUCGAGGGUCAAAACUUGCCUUGUCAUUUGUUUUGUAAGCAUCUCCUGAAACUCUUACAGCCUUAUGACUGUUACACCCCAACAAAAUGCUGGAGCGGCGCCCUGGGGUGUCUUUGCU
rnacentral:misc_RNA from 1 species